GGAAGUAAAAGUCGUAACCAAGGUCUCCGUAGGUGAACCUGCGGAGGGAUCAUUACAGAGUUCAUGCCCUACCGGGUAGAUCUCCCACCCUAUGUUAUUAUUACUUUGUUGCUUUGGCGGGCCGUUAGGCUCCGGCCCGACUACCGGCCCCGGCUGGUAAGCGCCCGCCAGAGGACCCAAAACCCUGAAUAUUAGUGUCGUCUGAGUACUAUAUAAUAGUUAAAACUUUCAACAACGGAUCUCUUGGUUCUG
rnacentral:misc_RNA from 1 species